rnacentral:rRNA from 1 species
GAUCCUGGCUCAGGAUGAACGCUGGCGGCGUGCUUAACACAUGCAAGUCGAACGAAGCACUUUAUUUAAUUUCCUUCGGGACUGAUUAUUUUGUGACUGAGUGGCGGACGGGUGAGUAACGCGUGGGUAACCUGCCUUGUACAGGGGGAUAACAGUUGGAAACGGCUGCUAAUACCGCAUAAGCACACAGCAUCGCAUGAUGCAGUGUGAAAAACUCCGGUGGUAUAAGAUGGACCCGCGUUGG